rnacentral:rRNA from 1 species
UACGUAGGUGGCAAGCGUUGUUCGGAAUUAUUGGGCGUAAAGGGCGCGUAGGCGGUUUGUUAAGUCGGUUGUGAAAGCCCGGGGCUCAACCCCGGAGGGUCGACCGAUACUGGCAAACUAGAGUACAGAAGAGGUAGCUGGAAUUCCCGGUGUAGCGGUGAAAUGCGUAGAUAUCGGAAGGAACAUCAGUGGCGAAGGCGACUUCCUGGACCAAUACUGACGCUCAGGUGCGAAAGCGUGGGGAGCAAACAGG